rnacentral:rRNA from 1 species
UACGGAGGGUGCAAGCGUUGUUCUGAAUCACUGGGCGUAAAGCGCGUGUAGGCGGCCUUCUUAGUCUGGUGUGAAAGCCCGGGGCUCACCCCCGGAAGUGCAUUGGAUACUGGAAGGCUGGAGUACCGGAGAGGAGGGUGGAAUUCCUGGUGUAGCGGUGAAAUGCGUAGAUAUCAGGAGGAACACCGGUGGCGAAGGCGGCCCUCUGGACGGAUACUGACGCUGAGACGCGACAGCGUGGGGAGCAAACAGG